rnacentral:SRP_RNA from 2 species
GCCAGGCAUGGUGGCGUGUGCCUAUAAUCCUAGCUACUGGGAGGGCUAAGGCAAGAGGAUUGCUUGAUCCCAGGAGUUCGAGGCUGCAGUGAGCUAUGAUUAUGCCACUGCACUCCAGCCUGGGCAACAGAGCAAGACCUUAUCUCUU